UUAAGCGACUAAGCGUACACGGUGGAUGCCCUGGCAGUCAGAGGCGAUGAAGGACGUGCUAAUCUGCGAAAAGCGUCGGUAAGGUGAUAUGAACCGUUACAGCCGGCGAUGUCCGAAUGGGGAAACCCAGUGUGAUUCGUCACACUAUCGUUAACUGAAUACAUAGGUUAACGAGGCGAACCGGGGGAACUGAAACAUCUAAGUACCCCGAGGAAAAGAAAUCAACCGAGAUUCCCCCAGUAGCGGCGAGCGAACGGGGAGCAGCCCAGAGUCUGAAUCAGCUUGUGUGUUAGUGGAACGGUCUGGAAAGUCCGACGGUACAGGGUGAUAGUCCCGUACACCAAAAUGCACAGGCUGUGAACUCGAAGAGUAGGGCGGGACACGUGGUAUCCUGUCUGAAUAUGGGGGGACCAUCCUCCAAGGCUAAAUACUCCUGACUGACCGAUAGUGAACCAGUACCGUGAGGGAAAGGCGAAAAGAACCCCGGCGAGGGGAGUGAAAAAGAACCUGAAACCGUGUACGUACAAGCAGUGGGAGCACCUUCGGGUGUGACUGCGUACCUUUUGUAUAAUGGGUCAGCGACUUAUAUUCUGUAGCAAGGUUAACCGUAUAGGGGAGCCGCAGGGAAACCGAGUCUUAACUGGGCGUUAAGUUGCAGGGUAUAGACCCGAAACCCGGUGAUCUAGCCAUGGGCAGGUUGAAGGUUGGGUAACACUAACUGGAGGACCGAACCGACUAAUGUUGAAAAAUUAGCGGAUGACUUGUGGCUGGGGGUGAAAGGCCAAUCAAACCGGGAGAUAGCUGGUUCUCCCCGAAAGCUAUUUAGGUAGCGCCUCGUGAACUCAUCUUCGGGGGUAGAGCACUGUUUCGGCUAGGGGGUCAUCCCGACUUACCAACCCGAUGCAAACUACGAAUACCGAAGAAUGUUAUCACGGGAGACACACGGCGGGUGCUAACGUCCGUCGUGAAGAGGGAAACAACCCAGACCGCCAGCUAAGGUCCCAAAGUCAUGGUUAAGUGGGAAACGAUGUGGGAAGGCACAGACAGCCAGGAUGUUGGCUUAGAAGCAGCCAUCAUUUAAAGAAAGCGUAAUAGCUCACUGGUCGAGUCGGCCUGCGCGGAAGAUGUAACGGGGCUAAACCAUGCACCGAAGCUGCGGCAGCGACACUAUGUGUUGUUGGGUAGGGGAGCGUUCUGUAAGCCUGUGAAGGUGACCUGUGAGGGUUGCUGGAGGUAUCAGAAGUGCGAAUGCUGACAUAAGUAACGAUAAAGCGGGUGAAAAGCCCGCUCGCCGGAAGACCAAGGGUUCCUGUCCAACGUUAAUCGGGGCAGGGUGAGUCGACCCCUAAGGCGAGGCCGAAAGGCGUAGUCGAUGGGAAACAGGUUAAUAUUCCUGUACUUGGUGUUACUGCGAAGGGGGGACGGAGAAGGCUAUGUUAGCCGGGCGACGGUUGUCCCGGUUUAAGCAUGUAGGCUGAUUGUCCAGGCAAAUCCGGAUAAUCAAGGCUGAGGUGUGAUGACGAGGCACUACGGUGCUGAAGUAACAAAUGCCCUGCUUCCAGGAAAAGCCUCUAAGCAUCAGGUAACAUCAAAUCGUACCCCAAACCGACACAGGUGGUCAGGUAGAGAAUACCAAGGCGCUUGAGAGAACUCGGGUGAAGGAACUAGGCAAAAUGGUGCCGUAACUUCGGGAGAAGGCACGCUGGUGUGUAGGUGAAGCCCCUGCGGGUGGAGCUGAGACCAGUCGAAGAUACCAGCUGGCUGCAACUGUUUAUUAAAAACACAGCACUGUGCAAACACGAAAGUGGACGUAUACGGUGUGACGCCUGCCCGGUGCCGGAAGGUUAAUUGAUGGGGUUAUCCGUAAGGAGAAGCUCUUGAUCGAAGCCCCGGUAAACGGCGGCCGUAACUAUAACGGUCCUAAGGUAGCGAAAUUCCUUGUCGGGUAAGUUCCGACCUGCACGAAUGGCGUAAUGAUGGCCAGGCUGUCUCCACCCGAGACUCAGUGAAAUUGAACUCGCUGUGAAGAUGCAGUGUACCCGCGGCAAGACGGAAAGACCCCGUGAACCUUUACUAUAGCUUGACACUGAACAUUGAGCCUUGAUGUGUAGGAUAGGUGGGAGGCUUUGAAGCGUGGACGCCAGUCUGCGUGGAGCCAACCUUGAAAUACCACCCUUUAAUGUUUGAUGUUCUAACGUUGGCCCCUGACCGGGGUUGCGGACAGUGUCUGGUGGGUAGUUUGACUGGGGCGGUCUCCUCCCAAAGCGUAACGGAGGAGCACGAAGGUUAGCUAAUCCUGGUCGGACAUCAGGAGGUUAGUGCAAUGGCAUAAGCUAGCUUGACUGCGAGCGUGACGGCGCGAGCAGGUGCGAAAGCAGGUCAUAGUGAUCCGGUGGUUCUGAAUGGAAGGGCCAUCGCUCAACGGAUAAAAGGUACUCCGGGGAUAACAGGCUGAUACCGCCCAAGAGUUCAUAUCGACGGCGGUGUUUGGCACCUCGAUGUCGGCUCAUCACAUCCUGGGGCUGAAGUAGGUCCCAAGGGUAUGGCUGUUCGCCAUUUAAAGUGGUACGCGAGCUGGGUUUAGAACGUCGUGAGACAGUUCGGUCCCUAUCUGCCGUGGGCGCUGGAGAAUUGAGGGGGGCUGCUCCUAGUACGAGAGGACCGGAGUGGACGCAUCACUGGUGUUCGGGUUGUCAUGCCAAUGGCACUGCCCGGUAGCUAAAUGCGGAAGAGAUAAGUGCUGAAAGCAUCUAAGCACGAAACUUGCCCCGAGAUGAGUUCUCCCUGAGACUUUAAGUCUCCUGAAGGAACGUU
rnacentral:rRNA from 1 species